UCCAUCUGCACCUAUAACCAGUGACAGAAUUUUUUUCUUGCAUACCGAUUUCAAGAAAUAAUAAUAAAAAAUCAAUCAAACGGGUUUGUUUUAGAACUAAUUCUCAUAGCAGCGUAUUUAAACAAAGCGCAGGAAACAAACGUCCAUAAACAGGAAAGACGUCAUGACGUUUCAAAGACAAAUAACAAUGUUUAGUUCUGGUUUUGUUUUAUCAGUUGUAGCGUAACGUUUUUAUGAAUUUUUGAUAAAAUAAUGUUUUUUGAAUCGAAAAAUAUACUACCAGGAAUAAAAAGGAACUGCCAAGGUAUUGGAUUUUUAUUUCGUUCUUUAAAUAAUAUAUAAAUUACUACAUAAAUCUUCUACAUAUAUGUAGUUCGUAAUAUCUCAUUUACAGCAUGAGAGUCAUCUAACAUUCUGGGGUUUAAGAUGGAUUUUUCCAGCACCGGUAAAAGACCGGAAAUCCUCGUCUGGUAUGCAAGAAUUUGUGUUUAGCGUCUACAAAAAAUAUAUAUAUCUAUGUUACGUGCAUAUAACCAAGUGCAGCGCAAAAAAACAAUUUGCUAUAUGUGAAACGAUUUGUAAAUCGGCAACCUUAUUUAAAUUUGUUAUAUGCGCAGGCUAACUACCUCGUUUGGUAAAUGAAUCUGCACUUAUAACAUAUUGAUGAUAUCUCUCAAUAAAAUCGAGGGAGAUCAGGCAUGUGAAUUGACCUGGCCGUUGUGCUUAAGCUGAAAAGAACAAGAAAUACUUUUAAAAAAGUAGCUCAAUAUAUUAAUGCGAUAUUUUCAUCCCUGGUAAUUUAUGGACUACUGGUUUGGAACCAUUUUCCGGACACAUUUUCAUAUUUCGGCUCUAUUAUUCCCUAAAAAAAUAUUUGACAUAAAUGAAGCCCACACUGCACAAACUUCAGCUCCUUCCACAUCCAACAUAAAAUAUGGGUAUAUAUAUAUAUGUCUGUUAAAGACCAGAAAAGUCAUUCUUUAAUUAUUAAAUGGUCUAGCGUCAUAAAUAUAAAUUUCGUAUCCAGUAUCUUGCCGAGGUGUGAUAAAUGUUUUUCUAGAUCAGUAAAUUAACAGCAGUCUGUCACCAAGUUUCAAUACCUCCAAUCUGAAAUAAUGCAAUAAAACCCAAACAUGCGUGAAGUGUGACACAAUUUCUGUUUCUUUAACAGCAUUUCAAUGUACUGAUAGUGUGACAUUAAACCCAACAAAAUAAAAAAUAAAUUCAGUGUAUUAGUAGUCAAUUUACCAUCAAAGUAGAUUAAGUUUGGACAUAGUGUGGUAAUGUUCUGUUAACUUUGUGUUAAUUAUCAAUUAUAAGUGUGCCAGACACAAUCAGUUAUAACUUGAAUAAUCCAUAAUUAUUAUGGCCUACACAAUAGACAUACAUAAGGGAGGUGUAAAGACCUAGGGUGUAUUGUCCCUGAGGUGUUUCUGUGGUUAUUGCUAAUACUGUUAGGUAUAACAUAUAUUAUGAGGCAACAAAAAACAAUGUAGAAACAAAUAAUCGUUAUCAUAUACAAUAGUAGAUGAGAAAAACAAGGAAGUGCCACCAAUUGGCCAUGUAUAUGGUCAAGCUGAGUAUGCGGCCAAGUGACUGAUCAGAAGUAAGCCGUCAUUGAUAGUAAAGAUGGAAGCAGUUUUGAUGAACUUAAUGACCUUGACUACGAACCAGAAAGUGAAGAAGAUGGAGAUGAUAAUGAUGAUUAUGAAGAAGUAGAUGAAGUAAUGGACAAAUGGGAAAGACAGUGGGAAGGAAAAGUAGAAAGGGGGAUGAAAAGAAAAUAGACUGAAGAAGAAAAUAUAGUUUUCUUUGACAUUUUCAAGGAUGAACUUACUUUAAAAAAGAUGCCUAAAGCAAGAAAAUUGCAGAAAGCUGUUGAAAAGAUAAAAGAACAGUUCCACAAGUGAGGAUGAGAGUUCACAACAUGAUAACAAAGCAGCAAAAGGUUACAGGAAAGUUUGGUUUAUGAACUAAAUCAGAUAGGCCUAGAAAUGUUUUGUGAAAAGUUUCAAAAUGGUAUAAUUUUAAAUACCAGUAAAUAAUAUUGAAACAUAAAUGAUUAUCAAGUUUUUAUCAUGAGUGUAACAGUUUGUCUGCAUCUGUUUCCAACAGGGUAAUAUAUCACUGAGACACUAAAAGUUUGAUUUUAUUGCUAUGUAACAAAGAAUAGUUACCGGUAAAAUACAGAAGAUAAUUAAAUGUUUUAAUCAUAUCGUCAGUGUUUGCUUUGUUUGCAGCUUUCAUGUCAGUUGAUAUAAUUGUGUUUGAGCAAAUAUUCAUUGUAACAUUGCUUAAGAAAUAAUUAUAAACUCUGAUUUUAUCAUUUAAUGAAAUCAUUUGCUUGGAGUUCAGAUGUUAAGGAAUUAUGUCACGUGGUUGCAGCCCUAGUGAUAUAAUAAUAUAUUUCUGAACAACACUGAUUUUAUUCAAGGGAAAAUUUCACUGUUAGAGAUAUAUAAUUUCUAUUCUAAAUAUCAAAGAUUACUAUCUGCAUCAAUUGACUACAUCCACAAAAUAUUUGCCUGUUUUUUAUUUAUUCAUUUUCAGCUUGCUGCUAUGACAAUUGACACUUUAACGAAGUAAUUGUAACGUAUGAACAAUGAUUUUGUUGCAUAAUAAGGUCACACUUUCAGCCUUUUUCUACGCCCGAAUGGAUGUAUUAUGUUAUACCCCCGGUGUCCGUCUGUCUGUCUGUCCGUCCGUUAGCAAUUUCAUGUGCGCUCUGUAACUCUUGAACCCCUUGAAGGAUUUUGAUGAAACUUGACACAAAUGU
rnacentral:lncRNA from 1 species